rnacentral:tRNA from 1 species
AGAAUGUUAGGUUAAUUAAACUAAUUAUUUUCAAAAUAAUAGAUGCAUAAAAAUAUGUAUGUUCUG